GAAGGUGUGCUGUGAGGCAUGCUGGAGGUAUCAGAAGUGCGAAUGCUGACAUAAGUAACGAUAAAGCGGGUGAAAAGCCCGCUCGCCGGAAGACCAAGGGUUCCUGUCCAACGUUAAUCGGGGCAGGGUGAGUCGACCCCUAAGGCGAGGCCGAAAGGCGUAGUCGAUGGGAAACAGGUUAAUAUUCCUGUACUUGGUGUUACUGCGAAGGGGGGACGGAGAAGGCUAUGUUGGCCGGGCGACGGUUGUCCCGGUUUAAGCGUGUAGGCUGGUUUUCCAGGCAAAUCCGGAAAACUAAGGCUGAGGCGUGAUGACGAGGCACUACGGUGCUGAAGCAACAAAUGCCCUGCUUCCAGGAAAAGCCUCUAAGCAUCAGGUAACAUCAAAUCGUACCCCAAACCGACACAGGUGGUCAGGUAGAGAAUACCAAGGCGCUUGAGAGAACUCGGGUGAAGGAACUAGGCAAAAUGGUGCCGUAACUUCGGGAGAAGGCACGCUGAUAUGUAGGUGAGGUCCCUCGCGGAUGGAGCUGAAAUCAGUCGAAGAUACCAGCUGGCUGCAACUGUUUAUUAAAAACACAGCACUGUGCAAACACGAAAGUGGACGUAUACGGUGUGACGCCUGCCCGGUGCCGGAAGGUUAAUUGAUGGGGUUAGCGGUAACGCGAAGCUCUUGAUCGAAGCCCCGGUAAACGGCGGCCGUAACUAUAACGGUCCUAAGGUAGCGAAAUUCCUUGUCGGGUAAGUUCCGACCUGCACGAAUGGCGUAAUGAUGGCCAGGCUGUCUCCACCCGAGACUCAGUGAAAUUGAACUCGCUGUGAAGAUGCAGUGUACCCGCGGCAAGACGGAAAGACCCCGUGAACCUUUACUAUAGCUUGACACUGAACAUUGAGCCUUGAUGUGUAGGAUAGGUGGGAGGCUUAGAAGUGUGGACGCCAGUCUGCAUGGAGCCGACCUUGAAAUACCACCCUUUAAUGUUUGAUGUUCUAACGUGGACCCGUGAUCCGGGUUGCGGACAGUGUCUGGUGGGUAGUUUGACUGGGGCGGUCUCCUCCUAAAGAGUAACGGAGGAGCACGAAGGUUGGCUAAUCCUGGUCGGACAUCAGGAGGUUAGUGCAAUGGCAUAAGCCAGCUUGACUGCGAGCGUGACGGCGCGAGCAGGUGCGAAAGCAGGUCAUAGUGAUCCGGUGGUUCUGAAUGGAAGGGCCAUCGCUCAACGGAUAAAAGGUACUCCGGGGAUAACAGGCUGAUACCGCCCAAGAGUUCAUAUCGACGGCGGUGUUUGGCACCUCGAUGUCGGCUCAUCACAUCCUGGGGCUGAAGUAGGUCCCAAGGGUAUGGCUGUUCGCCAUUUAAAGUGGUACGCGAGCUGGGUUUAGAACGUCGUGAGACAGUUCGGUCCCUAUCUGCCGUGGGCGCUGGAGAACUGAGGGGGGCUGCUCCUAGUACGAGAGGACCGGAGUGGACGCAUCACUGGUGUUCGGGUUGUCAUGCCAAUGGCACUGCCCGGUAGCUAAAUGCGGAAGAGAUAAGUGCUGAAAGCAUCUAAGCACGAAACUUGCCCCGAGAUGAGUUCUCCCUGACUCCUUGAGAGUCCUGAAGGAACGUUGAAGACGACGACGUUGAUAGGCCGGGUGUGUAAGCGCAGCGAUGCGUUGAGCUAACCGGUACUAAUGAACCGUGAGGCUUAACCUU
rnacentral:rRNA from 1 species